rnacentral:rRNA from 1 species
GAUGAACGCUGGCGGCGUGCCUAAUACAUGCAAGUCGAGCGAACGGACGAGAAGCUUGCUUCUCUUAUGUUAGCGGCGGACGGGUGAGUAACACGUGGAUAACCUACCUAUAAGACUGGGAUAACUUCGGGAAACCGGAGCUAAUACCGGAUAAUAUUUUGAACCGCAUGGUUCAAAAGUAAAAGACGGUCUUGCUGUCACUUAUAGAUGGAUCCGCGCUGCAUUAGCUAGUUGGUAAGGUAACGGCUUACCAAGGCAACGAUGCAUAGCCGACCUGAGAGGGUGAUCGGCCACACUGGAACUGAGACACGGUCCAGACUCCUACGGGAGGCAGCAGUAGGGAAUCUUCCGCAAUGGGCGAAAGCCUGACGGAGCAACGCCGCGUGAGUGAUGAAGGUCUUCGGAUCGUAAAACUCUGUUAUUAGGGAAGAACAUAUGUGUAAGUAACUGUGCACAUCUUGACGGUACCUAAUCAGAAAGCCACGGCUAACUACGU